GAUGAACGCUGGCGGCGUGCUUAACACAUGCAAGUCGAACGGUGAAGCAGAGCUUGCUCUGUGGAUCAGUGGCAAACGGGUGAGUAACACGUGAGCAAUCUGCCCUGGACUCUGGGAUAAGCGUUGGAAACGACGUCUAAUACCGGAUACGAGGCGUGGGGGCAUCCCCAACGCCUGGAAAGAUCUUCGGUCCAGGAUGAGCUCGCGGCCUAUCAGCUAGUUGGUGAGGUAACGGCUCACCAAGGCGACGACGGGUAGCCGGCCUGAGAGGGUGACCGGCCACACUGGGACUGAGACACGGCCCAGACUCCUACGGGAGGCAGCAGUGGGGAAUAUUGCACAAUGGGCGCAAGCCUGAUGCAGCAACGCCGCGUGAGGGACGACGGCCUUCGGAUUGUAAACCUCUUUUAGCAGGGAAGAAGCGAAAGUGACGGUACCUGCAGAAAAAGCACCGGCUAACUACGUGCCAGCCGCCGCAGUAAGAC
rnacentral:rRNA from 1 species